rnacentral:rRNA from 1 species
CCUACGGGUGGCUGCAGUGGGGAAUAUUGCACAAUGGGGGAAACCCUGAUGCAGCAACGCCGCGUGAGUGAUGACGGCCUUCGGUUUGUAAAGCUCUAUCUGCAGGGACGAUAAUGACGGUACCUGAGGAGGAAGCCACGGCUAACUACGUGCCAGCAGCCGCGGUAAUACGUAGGGGGCGAGCGUUGUCCGGAUUUACUGGGCGUAAAGGGAGCGUAGGCGGACGUGUAAGUGAGAUGUGAAAUACUAGGGCUUAACUUGGGUGCUGCAUUUCAAACUGGAAGUCUAGAGUGCAGGAGAGGAGAAUGGAAUUCCUAGUGUAGCGGUGAAAUGCAUAGAUAUCACGCAGAACUCCGAUUGCGAAGGCAGUAUACCGGCGCCUUACUGACGUUGAGGCACGAAAGCGUGGGUAUCGAACAGGAUUAGAUACCCCUGUAGUC